rnacentral:rRNA from 1 species
AUUGAACGCUGGCGGCAGGCCUAACACAUGCAAGUCGAACGAGUGGCGGACGGGUGAGUAAUGUCUGGGAAACUGCCUGAUGGAGGGGGCUAACUACUGGAAACGGUCGCUAAUACCGCAUACCAUCAGAUGUGCCCAGAGGGGAUUAGCUAGUUGGGGGGGUAACGGCUCACCAAGGCGACGAUCCCUAGCUGGUCUGCUAGGAUGACCAGCCAACCUGGAACUGAGCCACGGGCCAGACUCCUACGGGAGGCAGCAGGGGGGAAUAUUGAACAAUGGGCGCAAUCCUGAUGCAGCCAUGCCGCGUGUAUGAAGAAGGCCUUCGGGUUGUAAAGUACUUUCAGCGGGGAGGCGUUACCCGCAGAAGAAGCACCGGCUAACUCCGUGCCAGCAGCCGCGGUAAUAC